rnacentral:lncRNA from 1 species
AAAAAAAUACUAAAAAAAACAAAAACAACCAACAACAACGAAGAAGAAAAAAAUACAUCACAAAAAACCACAACAUAAACAACAAACAAAAAAACUAAAAGAGAGAAAACCACACCAACCCUGCAGCAAAACGUCCCCAUAAUAUGACCAAGCUAGAUCUCAGAUCUCUAAACAACCGAAAGCAAAAAUUAGCAUAGAACAGGAGAGCCAAGCCAAGAAUCUCGAUUCGAUAUUCGAUCAGACUUAUGAAAUGAUUCUAAAGCCAAUCGUUGAAGCAUAAAGAGUUCAAUUGGAGUUAUGAAGGUG